rnacentral:lncRNA from 1 species
GUAGCUUAUUUUGAAUAGUACAAGGGCAAAUCCGACCCUUAACGGCUCAAAGAAAACACCGCCCAUUUCUCAAAUGUCUAGUAGCCAUAAGAAACAAUUACAACUAUGUUUGCCAUGUUAAGGUGAUGUUAUUAUACUCACAAACCUAAGAACGUUGAAGAAUUGCAGUCACUUGAAAAGUUUCCACUUGUUAUAAUUAAGCAAAAUACAAUACAUUUCUCUCUAGAAAAUAAAU